UACGGGGGGGGCAAGCGUUGUUCGGAAUUACUGGGCGUAAAGGGCUCGUAGGCGGCCAACUAAGUCAGACGUGAAAUCCCUCGGCUUAACCGGGGAACGGCCUCUGAUACUGGAUGGCUUGAGUUCGGGAGAGGGAUGCGGAAUUCCAGGUGUAGCGGUGAAAUGCGUAGAUACCAGGAGGAACACCGGUGGCGAAGGCGGCUUCCUGGCCGGAUACUGACACUCAUGCACGAAAGCGUGGGGAGCAAACGGG
rnacentral:rRNA from 1 species